UACGUAGGGGGCAAGCGUUGUCCGGAUUUAUUGGGCGGUAAAGAGCGUGUAGGCGGCUAGGUAGGUCCGUUGAUUGAAACUCGAGGCUCAACCUCGAGCUGUCGAUGGAAACCAUCUGGCUAGAGUCCGGAAGAGGAGAGUGGAAUUCCUGGUGUAGCGGUGGAAUGCGCAGAUAUCUGGAGGAACACCGGUGGCGAAGGCGGCAUCCUGGACCGGUAUUGACGCUGAGGCGCGAAAGCUAGGGGAGCAAACGGGG
rnacentral:rRNA from 1 species